AGAGUUUGAUCCUGGCUCAGAUUGAACGCUGGCGGCAGGCCUAACACAUGCAAGUCGAGCGCGAAAACACUUCGGUGUGAGUAGAGCGGCGGACGGGUGAGUAAUGCUUGGGAAUCUGCCCAAUAGUGGGGGAUAACGUGUGGAAACGCACGCUAAUACCGCAUACGUCCUACGGGAGAAAGCAGGGGAUCUUCGGACCUUGCGCUAUUGGAUGAGCCCAAGUCAGAUUAGCUAGUUGGUGGGGUAAUGGCUCACCAAGGCGACGAUCUGUAGCUGGUCUGAGAGGAUGAUCAGCCACACUGGGACUGAGACACGGCCCAGACUCCUACGGGAGGCAGCAGUGGGGAAUAUUGCACAAUGGGCGAAAGCCUGAUGCAGCCAUGCCGCGUGUGUGAAGAAGGCUCUAGGGUUGUAAAGCACUUUCAGUGGGGAGGAAAAGCUCAAAAUUAAUACUUUUGAGCCUUGACGUUACCUGCAGAAGAAGCACCGGCAAACUCCGUGCCAGCAGCCGCGGUAAUACGGAGGGUGCGAGCGUUAAUCGGAAUUACUGGGCGUAAAGCGCGCGUAGGUGGUUUGAUAAGCUAGCUGUGAAAGCCCUGGGCUCAACCUGGGAACUGCAGUUAGAACUGUCUGGCUAGAGUAUAGUAGAGGGUGGCGGAAUUUCCUGUGUAGCGGUGAAAUGCGUAGAUAUAGGAAGGAACAUCAGUGGCGAAGGCGGCCACCUGGACUAAUACUGACACUGGGGUGCGAAAGCGUGGGGAGCAAACAGGC
rnacentral:rRNA from 1 species